AGUGGGGGUUUAUUUGAUCGCCUUCGACUUCUUCGACUUCUCGCUCUCCAGCCUUUCUUUCUCCACCUCCUCUUCACACAGAUCACGGGGCUCGGGGCCUGUUCCCGAGGGAGCCGUAUAUCCUCUGCCUCAGGCUCGUCAGAGUCGUUUAAGAAGAAAAAGGAUUCUACUAGUCUGUGGUGAGUAAUCGCAUUCCUGAUGUCUAGAAGUUAUUUUUGGUCAUAAGAGACGGUAGCGGCAAUAUUAUGUACAAAAUGAGUAAAACAAAUAUUUACAAACAACGCAGAUAAACAAACAAAAAAACACAAUCGGUUGGGGGCAUGUAAAAUGCAUGCCUUCUGCUCUGGCGCCAAUUCAAUUGGGCGCCGCUUCAUGGAUCUCCCAGUCAUGGCUGGCUGCAACACAGCCCAGGAUUAAACCCAGGUCUGUAGUGACCCUUCAAGCACUGUGAUGCAGUGCCUUAAACCGCUGCGCCACUUGGGAGGCCCAACAUAUUGUGUUUGUCCAACAGAGAUCAACAGAUCCUAUGAGAGGAUUAAUGAUAACGUGGGAUCUAAGACUGUGCUCAGUUAUGUCUGUCUAUCCAACAAGAGAAAGGUAAGACAAACUUCAAAAGACUGAUUUUCAAUAACACAGUAAUGACUAAGACUUAGAAGAACUUAAUUGCAUUUAGUUGAGUUAAGUGGAACUGAAUUGUUCAUUGUCCAUUCUCUGCUGCCACUGUUUGUUCUUUCUGAUCAAAUGAAAUGUUAACACGAAGUGGUUAGAUUGUAGACAAACUAUAAAAUUAAAUAAAUAAAUGUUUUGAGUAAAUCUUUUAUUUUGUUGGAUUUGACAUUUUGAACAUUGAGAUAUUAAAUACAUGAUAGAGAACAAGAAUAGAAUAUUAGGAGUGAAAGAGAAUAUGUUUUAUGUCAGAAGUUAACUUCUUAUGGGUGGUAGCGUCCCACCUG
rnacentral:lncRNA from 13 species